CAGCUCUCCGAGUGGUGUGGAUGUUUAUUGGGCCUAAAGCAUCCGUAGCUGGCUGAGUUAGUCCCUUGUUAAAUCCACCGAAUUAAUCGUUGGAUUGCGGGGGAUACUGCUCGGCUAGGGGACGAGAGAGGCAGACGGUAUUUCUGGGGUAGGGGUGAAAUCCUAUAAUCCUUGGGGGACCACCAGUGGCGAAGGCGUCAGACUGGAACGCGCUCGACGGUGAGGGACGAAAGCCAGGGGAGCGAACCGGAUUAGAUACCCGUGUAGUCC
rnacentral:rRNA from 1 species